rnacentral:rRNA from 1 species
UACAGAGGGGGCUAGCGUUGUUCGGAAUUACUGGGCGUAAAGGGCUCGUAGGCGGCCAACUAAGUCAAACGUGAAAUCCCUCAGCUUAACUGGGGAACUGCGUGUGAUACUGGAUGGCUUGGAUGUGGGAGAGGGAUGCGGAAUUCCAGGUGUAGCGGUGAAAUGCGUAGAUAUCUGGAGGAACACCGGUGGCGAAGGCGGCAUCCUGGACCAUUAUUGACGCUGAGGAGCGAAAGCCAGGGGAGCAAACGGG